UCUCUCUCUCUCUCCCUCUCUGUUGCUAUUCUCUCCUCCCUCUUUCACCCCCACUCCACCAGCCAUGGAACAACUCUCCUCCUCCGCUCCUCCUCACGUUUGCCGGCAACCGAAGCACCGAUUCACUCCUUGUUGGCAACCGGAACAACUCUCUUCAUAGUGUAUACUAUUUGGUUUGGAACUCUAACGGUGCUGCCCCUUUGUGUCCCUCUCUCACAUAGUCAAUAGCGAGCAACGCCAAUUGUGACCCUCUCUCUGGUCGUUGCCCUCUGUCCUCUCUCUGUUGUUCGAUUUUCAAGUUGUGGACUUGCAUUCCGGUGCCCAGCACCUAUGCUACCACUCCUGCUCCUCCCCUCCUUGCGGCCUCGUCUCCGUCUCCGGCCUUUUUCUCGUCUCCUUUCAGCUUCGUGAUCCAUCUUUCUUAUUCGGCUUCGUCCUCUACUGGUCCUGGAACAAGCCUCAUGUGGAAGUUAAGUGCUUCCCAGCAGAACCAAUUAAACCGCUUGCUUCUAAUAGUGACGGGACUUAUAUAGUUGGAGGAGGUGUUUUUGGGGAAAUAUAUUCAUGAGAGGUUGGAAAAAAGAGGACUCCUCCUUAUUGGGAUGCCUAGCGAGUGGGCUUCUUUUGAGAUGAGCUUCCCUGUUGUGUUUUCAGAGCAAUAACCUCCUAAUUGCUUUUGCAUGGGCUAUUGUGGAUAUUUAUUUUUGUGUACGAAGAGCAUUUGUUCUGUAAAUGGAAGACAUUUUUUUUUUCAAUCCUCUAUUUUGGAAAUCCAGUAUUUUUGUAUAUAAUAUUUAAUUUAGAUGGAUAAUACAUAGUUGGUAUGGAUUUAUAUGAUAUUUGGAAUAUGAUGCUACUGUAAGUUUCUGUAUUUCUGUAUAUACAAUUGUAUCUUUGAUUACAAUAAGAC